AAGUCGUAACAAGGUUUCCGUAGGUGAACCUGCGGAAGGAUCAUUAACAAAUCUCCAACACACCCUGUGUAACCGUUUGCGUUCCCUUGGUGUCUGCGUGCAGACGGUGGCCCCUAACAAGGCAGGCCACAGCCCAGGGAGCGUACUUAUACCAUGUCGAUUGACUGCCUUAGACCAUGAAAGCUAACAACUUUUAACAAUGGAUCUCUUGGCUCUU
rnacentral:misc_RNA from 1 species